AUCCAUUUUGGUUCCUCUCUGUUUCUCCCUUUUCCAGUCUAAAGUUCAGUUUGGGAUAUAUGUUUUUUUAAGUCCUCAUGAAGAUUCAUCAACAUUUGAAGGCAAUUUCCUCUUAAUACACACUUUUUUAUAUGCAAUUUUGCCUAAUGCAAUGCAAUGUUUGUAUGUUAUUUUCACAAAUAUAUGCAUUUACAUGCACACUUUAGUAUGUGAAUUUUGUACACAUUACCUGUCCAGAUCUGCGUCGUGAAAUUCAGAGAAGUGCAAAUUUCGAGGGAUGGCAUUUGUUUCUGCUCUCGUAUUGUUUCGUAAAGUGCAAAUCAGCUGAGGAUCCCUGAGGAAAUACUUCAGAUACUGCACUGCCAGAAUCCUCUGCUCAUUUAUUCGAGGUUUCCCCCCUGAAGACCGUCUCCCGUGGAUCGUGGCCCUGGGGGUGUGUGUGUGUGUCUAGUCAAUGGAAUCGGAUUCGGCAUUCCAGCCCCUCUUGCACAGAAAGUGUCAAACGGAGGAAGAUGAACUAGGCGUUGCGGGAGUAAACGUUGCCAUCUUGUCAAGACUAAAAUAAACUCCCCGUUAAUAAACGAGGUUGGGGAUUGGAAGCGAGCUUUUCGCCAUAAAAGGAGCCAAACGCUAAAAUUAUUGCCCCUAGAACCAUCGUGGGAGUAAAGAAAUUGUUUGUAUUAAAAAAAAGGAAUGGUG